UUUGAAUUUAAUUGAGUCGCAAAAGUACGCCCACCAAAAUGAAUACCAAAUCUUUCUUGUUUAUUGCUUUCAUUAUCUCUACAUUAUUUGCUUUUGCGCAUUGCAGUGGUUUAGGUGGCUUAGGAGCCAUGAUGAAAAUUAUGCCUGCGGUGACAGGAUCGAAUGAUAAUAAACAAUCUACGGUUGGUGAACAAAUGAAAAAAGUGGGGAACAUGUUUAGCUAGACAAAGCUAGACUUUUGCUUUCCACAUCUAUGCCAACGGAGGGCUGGAGAGAUUUUUAAGUUAUGCAAUAAAACUAUUUAAAUAAUAA